AUGAGAGAAGUUGCCAGCCAAAGUACACCGUGACAUGAUAUCUACAAGAUAAAUUAAUAAAUGCAAAUAAAGUAAAUCUAAUAAAAGGGGUAAGAACUUUUCUGUCAAUUUCACAAGCUCAUCUGUCAAGUAGGCAUCUACUGCUAACACUUUCCUCAAUAAUGAUGGAACUUGUCUUUUCUCGGACUGCAAGUGGAGAAAUAAUUUUAUAUAAUUGUGGCAAAUAUAUUCCACGUAGCUACUUAAAGAUAAAGAAACAAAUGUGCAAUGCUUAUUUUGUAUUAUAAAAGUAUAAUUCAAGGUAAAAUAUGGAUAAAUUAGUUUAACAUUAACAUGUCCAACUAAAAGAUGUAGAUCAGACAUAAAUAGUACAAAAAUAUGAUAAAUA